GCAUGCUUGUUUCAGCAGUGCAUAUACUAAAAUUGUAAUGAUACAGAGACAAUUAGCAUGGCCCCUGUGCAAGGAUGACACAAAAAA
rnacentral:snRNA from 10 species